rnacentral:rRNA from 1 species
UGGGGAAUAUUGGACAAUGGGCGAAAGCCUGAUCCAGCAAUGCCGCGUGUGUGAUGAAGGCCUUCGGGUUGUAAAGCACUGUCGGGAGGGACGAAAAAGCCGGUUAACACCCGGUGUUGACGGUACCUCCAAAGGAAGCACCGGCUAACUCUGUGCCAGCAGCCGCGGUAAUACAGAGGGUGCAAGCGUUGUUCGGAAUUACUGGGCGUAGAGCGCGUGUAGGCGGCACGUUAAGUCGGAUGUGAAAUCC